rnacentral:lncRNA from 1 species
UUCUAUCAAAUUAUAAGGAUGGGGAUGAGAUCCUUAUUGAAAAUUAUCCACGGCUGUUGACGGAGAAAGAGAAAAUAAGCCUAUUCAAUGACAUGUAUACACAUGUGUAAAUUCUGGGAAAGAAAGAUCAAGCAAAAGACAUCAGAAUUAAACAACAUACCUUAUGGUAAUGGGACUUGGAAAAUAAGAAUACAGAGGAAUGCAUAUCUGGAUGCAAUCGACCGUCACAAGAAUAGGAUAAGUUCUACCAAGACAGCCAAGAUGGCAUCCUAUUGCUGCACCGUAACGCAAUUCAACACCUUCACAAAGACUACUUAGUGGUUGUGAGGCACGCAAAGGUGGAGGUUUCGUUAGAAGUUCAUCACGUAGAGCAUAUUGUUUCUACGACCUGUCCAGGAGCUACACUGGUCCAGCUCAUCAUGGUGAUGUGAAAUGUCAACCGAAGAAAAAGGAAAUUACUGAAAAGAGCUACACUAGAAAGAAAUACAAAUGAUUUUGUGGCUAUUAAGAAUGCUGCAAUGGAGAUAGUCGGAGUAAAAUGUGCAAUGGAGUUCCCUAAUGAUGUUCAAAUGCUCUUCCAUCUUCUAUCAAAUUAUAAGGAUGGGGAUGAGAUCCUUAUUGAAAAAAUCAUCCACGGCUGUUGAAAGAGAAAGAGAAAAUAAGCCUCUUCAAUGACAUUUAUACACAUGUGUAAAUUCUGGGAAAGAAAUAUCAAGGAAAAGACAUCAGAAUUAAACAACAUAUCUUCUGGCAAUGGGGCUUGGAAAAUAAGAAUCCAGAUGAAUGCAUAUCUGGAUGUAAUCGACCGUCAAAAGAAUAGGAUGAGUUUCUACCAAGACAGCCAAGAUGGCAUCCUAUUGCUGCACCGUAAUGCAAUUCAACACCUUCCCAAGGACUACUCAGUGGUUGUGGUGCACGGAAAGGUGCAGGUUUAAUUUGAAGUUCAUCACGUAGAGCAUAUUGUUUCUACGACCUGUCCAGGAGCUACACUGGUCCAGCUCAUCAUGGUGAUGUGAAAUGUCAACCGAAGAAAAAGGAAAUUACUGAAAAGAGCUACACUAGAAAGAAAGGCAAAUGAUUUUGUGGUUAUUAAGAAUGAUGCAAUGGAGACACUCGGAGUAAAAUGUGCAAUGGAGCUCCCUAAUGAUGUUCAAAUUCUCUUCCAUCUACUAUCACAUUAUAAGGAUGGGGAUGAGAUCCUUAUUGAAAAUCAUCCACGGCUGUUGACAGAGAAAGAGAAAAUAAGCCUCUUCGAUAACAUGUAUACACAUGUGUAAAUUCUGGGAAAGAAAGAUUAAGCAAAAGAUAUCAGAAUUAAACAACAUACCUUAUGGCAAUGGGGCUUGUAAAAUAAGAAGCCAGAGGAAUGCAUAUCUAGAUGCAAUCGACCGUCAAAAGAAUAGCAUGAGUUCCUACCAAGACAGCCAAGAUGGCAUCCUAUUGCUGCACCGUAAGGCAAUUCAACACCUUCCCAAGGACUACUCAGUGGUUGUGGUGCACGGAAAGGUGCAGGUUUAAUUUGAAGUUCAUCACGUAGAGCAUAUUAUUUCUACGACGUGUACAGGAGCUACACUGGUCCAGCUCAUCAUGAUGAUGUGAAAUGUCAACCGAAGAAAAGAAAAUUACUGAAAACACCUACACUAGAAAGAAAGGCAAAUGAUUUUGUGGCUAUUAAGAAUGCUGCAAUGGAGAUACUCAGAGUAAAAUGUGCAAUGGAGCUCCCUAAUGAUGUUCAAAUGCUCUUCCAUCUUCUAUCAAAUUAUAAGGAUGGGGAUGAGAUGCUUAUUGAAAAUCAUCCACGGCUGUUGACAGAGAAAGAGAAAAUAAGUCUCUUCAAUGACAUGUAUACACAUGUGAAAAUUCUGGGAAAGAAAGAUCAAGCAAAAGAAAUCAGAAUUAAACAACAUACCUUAUGACAAUGGGGCUUGAAAAAUAAGAAUACAGAGGAAUGCAUAUCUGUAUGCAAUCGACCGUCACAAGAAUAGGAUGAGUUCCUACCAAGACAACCAAUAUGGCAUACUAUUGCUGCACCGUAAUACAAUUCAACACCUUACCAAGGACUACUCAGUGGUUGUGGUGCACGCAAAGGUGCAGGUUUAAUUUGAAGUUCAUCACGUAGAGCAUAUUAUUUAUACGACCUGUACAGGAGCUACACUGGUCCAGCUCAUCAUGAUGAUGUGAAAUGUCAACCGAAGAAAAGAAAAUUACUGAAAAGAACUACACUAGAAAGAAAGGCAAAUGAUUUUGUGGCUAUUAAGAAUGCUGCAAUGGAGAUACUCAGAGUAAAAUGUGCAAUGGAGCUCCCUAAUGAUGUUCAAAUGCUCUUCCAUCUUCUAUCAAAUUAUAAGGAUGGGGAUGAGAUCCUUAUUGAAAAUCAUCCACGGCUGGUGAUAGAGAAAGACAAAAUAACCCGCUUCAAUGGCAUGUAUACACAUGUGAAAAUUCUGGGAAAGAAAGAUCAAGCAAAAGAAAUCAGAAUUAAACAAUAUACCUUAUGGCAAUGGAGCUUGGAAAAUAAGAAUCCAGAGAAAUGCUUAUCUGAAUGCAAUCGACCGUCACAAGAAUAGGAUGAGUUCCUACCAAGACAGCCAAGAUGGCAUCCUAUUGCUGCACCGUAAUGCAAUUCAACACCUUCCCAAGGACUACUCAGUGGUUGUGGUGCACGGAAAGGUGCAGGUUUAAUUUGAAGUUCAUCACGUUGAGCAUAUUGUUUCUACGACCUGUCCAGGAGCUACACUGGUCCAGCUCAUCAUGGUGAUGUGAAAUGUCAACCGAAGAAAAAGGAAAUUACUGAAAAGAGCUACACUAGAAAGAAAGGCAAAUGAUUUUGUGGUUAUUAAGAAUGCUGCAAUGGAGACACUCGGAGUAAAAUGUGCAAUGGAGCUCCCUAAUGAUGUUCAAAUUCUCUUCCAUCUUCUAUCACAUUAUAAGGAUGGGGAUGAGAUCCUUAUUGAAAAUCAUCCACGGCUGUUGACAGAGAAAGAGAAAAUAAGCCUCUUCGAUGACAUGUAUACACAUGUGUAAAUUCUGGGAAAGAAAGAUUAAGCAAAAGAUAUCAGAAUUAAACAACAUACCUUAUGGCAAUGGGGCUUGUAAAAUAAGAAGCCAGAGGAAUGCAUAUCUGGAUGCAAUCGACCGUCAAAAGAAUAGCAUGAGUUCCUACCAAGACAGCCAAGAUGGCAUCCUAUUGCUGCACCGUAAGGCAAUUCAACACCUUCCCAAGGACUACUCAGUGGUUGUGGUGCACGGAAAGGUGCAGGUUUAAUUUGAAGUUCAUCACGUAGAGCAUAUUAUUUCUACGACGUGUACAGGAGCUACACUGGUCCAGCUCAUCAUGAUGAUGUGAAAUGUCAACCGAAGAAAAGAAAAUUACUGAAAAGAACUACACUAGAAAGAAAGGCAAAUGAUUUUGUGGUUAUUAAGAAUGCUGCAAUGGAGAUACUCAGAGUAAAAUGUGCAAUGGAGCUCCCUAAUGAUGUUCAAAUGCUCUUCCAUCUUCUAUCAAAUUAUAAGGAUGGGGAUGAGAUGCUUAUUGAAAAUCAUCCACGGCUGUUGACAGAGAAAGAGAAAAUAAGUCUCUUCAAUGACAUGUAUACACAUGUGAAAAUUCUGGGAAAGAAAGAUCAAGCAAAAGAAAUCAGAAUUAAACAACAUACCUUAUGGCAAUGGAGCUUGGAAAAUAAGAAUCCAGAGAAAUGCUUAUCUGAAUGCAAUCGACCGUCACAAGAAUAGGAUGAGUUUCUACCAAGACAGCCAAGAUGGCAUCCUAUUGCUGCACCGUAAUGCAAUUCAACACCUUCCCAAGGACUACUCAGUGGUUGUGGUGCACGGAAAGGUGCAGGUUUAAUUUGAAGUUCAUCACGUUGAGCAUAUUGUUUCUACGACCUGUCCAGGAGCUACACUGGUCCAGCUCAUCAUGGUGAUGUGAAAUGUCAACCGAAGAAAAAGGAAAUUACUGAAAAGAGCUACACUAGAAAGAAAGGCAAAUGAUUUUGUGGUUAUUAAGAAUGCUGCAAUGGAGACACUCGGAGUAAAAUGUGCAAUGGAGCUCCCUAAUGAUGUUCAAAUUCUCUUCCAUCUUCUAUCACAUUAUAAGGAUGGGGAUGAGAUCCUUAUUGAAAAUCAUCCACGGCUGUUGACAGAGAAAGAGAAAAUAAGCCUCUUCGAUGACAUGUAUACACAUGUGUAAAUUCUGGGAAAGAAAGAUUAAGCAAAAGAUAUCAGAAUUAAACAACAUACCUUAUGGCAAUGGGGCUUGUAAAAUAAGAAGCCAGAGGAAUGCAUAUCUGGAUGCAAUCGACCGUCAAAAGAAUAGCAUGAGUUCCUACCAAGACAGCCAAGAUGGCAUCCUAUUGCUGCACCGUAAGGCAAUUCAACACCUUCCCAAGGACUACUCAGUGGUUGUGGUGCACGGAAAGGUGCAGGUUUAAUUUGAAGUUCAUCACGUAGAGCAUAUUAUUUCUACGACGUGUACAGGAGCUACACUGGUCCAGCUCAUCAUGAUGAUGUGAAAUGUCAACCGAAGAAAAGAAAAUUACUGAAAAGAACUACACUAGAAAGAAAGGCAAAUGAUUUUGUGGCUAUUAAGAAUGCUGCAAUGGAGAUACUCGGAGUAAAAUGUGCAAUGGAGCUCCCUAAUGAUGUUCAAAUGCUCUUCCAUCUUCUAUCAAAUUAUAAGGAUGGGGAUGAGAUGCUUAUUGAAAAUCAUCCACGGCUGUUGACAGAGAAAGAGAAAAUAAGUCUCUUCAAUGACAUGUAUACACAUGUGUAAAUUCUGGGAAAGAAAGAUCAAGUAAAAGAAAUCAGAAUUAAACAACAUACCUUAUGACAAUGGGGCUUGGAAAAUAAGAAUACAGAGGAAUGCCUAUCUGUAUGCAAUCGACCGUCACAAGAAUAGGAUGAGUUCCUACCAAGACAACCAAGAUGGCAUACUAUUGCUGCACCGUAAUACAAUUCAACACCUUCCCAAGGACUACUCAGUGGUUGUGGUGCACGCAAAGGUGCAGGUUUAAUUUGAAGUUCAUGACGUAGAGCAUAUUAUUUCUACGACCUGUACAGGAGCUACACUGGUCCAGCUCAUCAUGAUGAUGUGAAAUGUCAACCGAAGAAAAGAAAAUUACUGAAAAGAACUACACUAGAAAGAAAGGCAAAUGAUUUUGUGGCUAUUAAGAAUGCUGCAAUGGAGAUACUCAGAGUAAAAUGUGCAAUGGAGCUCCCUAAUGAUGUUCAAAUUCUCUUCCAUCUUCUAUCAAAUUAUAAGGAUGGGGAUGAGAUCCUUAUUGAAAAUCAUCCACGGCUGGUGAUAGAGAAAGACAAAAUAACCCGCUUCAAUGGCAUGUAUACACAUGUGAAAAUUCUGGGAAAGAAAGAUCAAGCAAAAGAAAUCAGAAUUAAACAACAUACCUUAUGGCAAUGGAGCUUGGAAAAUAAGAAUCCAGAGAAAUGCUUAUCUGAAUGCAAUCGACCGUCACAAGAAUAGGAUGAGUUCCUACCAAGACAGCCAAGAUGGCAUCCUAUUGCUGCACCGUAAUUCAAUUCAACACCUUCCCAAGGACUACUCAGUGGUUGUGGUGCACGCAAAGGUGCAGGUUUAAUUUGAAGUUCAUCACAUAGAGCAUAUUGUUUCUACGACCUGUCCAGGAGCUAAACUGGUUCAGCUCAUCAUGGUGAUGUGAAAUAUCAACCGAAGAAAAAGGAAAUUACUGAAAAGAGCUACACUAGAAAGAAAGGCAAAUGAUUUUGUGGCUAUUAAGAAUGCUGCAAUGGAGAUACUCGGAGUAAAAUGUGCAAUGGAGCUCCCUAAUGAUGUUCAAAUGCUCUUCCAUCUUCUAUCAAAUUAUAAGGAUGGGGAUGAGAUCCUUAUUGAAACUCAUCCACUGCUGGUGAUAGAGAAAGAGAAAAUAAGCCUCUUCAAUGACAUGUAUACACAUGUGUAAAUUCUAGGAAAGAAAGAUCAAGUAAAAGACAUCAGAAUUAAACAACAUACCUUAUGGCAAUGGGGCUUGGAAAAUAAGAAUCCAGAGGAAUGCAUAUCUGUAUGCAAUCGACCAUCACAAGAAUAGGAUGAGUUCCUACCAAGACAGCCAAGAUGGCAUCCUAUUGCUGCACCGUAAUGCAAUUCAACACCUUCCUAAGGACUACUCAGUGGUUGUGGUGCACGGAAAGGUGCAGGUUUAAUUUGAAGUUCAUCACGUAGAGCAUAUUGUUUCUACGACCUGUCCAGGAGCUACACUGGUCCAGCUCAUCAUGGUGAUGUGAAAUGUCAACCGAAAAAAAAGGAAAUUACUGAAAAGAGCUACACUAGAAAGAAAUACAAAUGAUUUUGUGGCUAUUAAGAAUGCUGCAAUGGAUAUACUCGAAGUAAAAUGUGCAAUGGAGCUCCCUAAUGAUGUUCAAAUGCUCUUCCAUCUUCGAUCAAAUUAUAAGGAUGAGGAUGAGAUCCUUAUUGAAAAUCAUCCACGGCUGUUGACAGAGAAAGAGAAAAUAAAACUUUUCAAUGACAUGUAUACACAUGUGUAAAUUCUGGGAAAGAAAUAUCAAGGAAAAGACAUCUAAAUUAAACAACAUACCUUAUGGCAAUAGGGCUUGGAAAAUAAGAAUCCCGAGGAAUGCAUAUCUGGAUGCAAUCGACCGUCACAAAAAUAGGAUGAGUUUCUACCAAGACAGCCAAGAUGGCAUCCUAUUGCUGCACCGUAACGCAAUUCAACACCUUCCCAAGGACUACUCAGUGGUUGUGGUGCACGGAAAGGUGCAGGUUUAAUUUGAAGUUCAUCACGUUGAGCAUAUUGUUUCUACGACCUGUCCAGGAGCUACACUGGUCCAGCUCAUCAUGGUGAUGUGAAAUAUCAACCGAAGAAAAGGAAAUUACUGAAAACAACUACACUAGAAAGAAAGGCAAAUGAUUUUGUGGCUAUUAAGAAUGCUGCAAUGGAGAUACUCGGAGUAAAAUGUGCAAUGGAGCUCCCUAAUGAUGUUCAAAUGCUCUUCCAUCUUCUAUCAAAAUAUAAGGAUGGGGAUGAGAUCCUUAUUGAAAAUCAUCCACGGCUGUUGAUAGAGAAAUAGAAAAUAAGCCUCUUCAAUGACAUGUAUACACAUGUGUAAAUUCUAGGAAAGAAAGAUCAAGUAAAAGACAUCAGAAUUAAACAACAUCCCUUAUGGCAAUGGGGCUUGGAAAAUAAGAAUCCAGAGGAAUGCAUAUCUGGAUGCAAUCGACCGUCACAAGAAUAGGAUGAGUUCAUACCAAGACAGCUAAGAUGGCAUCCUAUUGCUGCACCGUAACGCAAUUCAACACCUUCCCAAGGACUACUCAGUGGUUGUGGUGCACGGAAAGGUGCAGGUUUUUUUUGAAGUUCAUCACGUAGAGCAUAUUGUUUCUACGACCUGUCCAGGAGCUACACUGGUCUAGCUCAUCAUGGUGAUGUGAAAUGUCAAUCGAAGAAAAGGAAAUUACUGAAAAGAGCUACACUAGAAAGAAAGGCAAAUGAUUUUGUGGCUAUUAAGAAUGCUGCAAUGGAGAUACUCGAAGUAAAAUGUGCAAUGGAGCUCCCUAAUGAUGUUCAAAUGCUCUUCCAUCUUCUAUCAAAUUAUAAGGAUGAGGAUGAGAUCCUUAUUGAACAUCAUCCACGGCUGGUGAUAGAGAAAGAUAAAAUAAGCCUCUUCAAUGACAUGUAUACACAUGUGUAAAUUCUGGGAAAGAAAGAUCAAGUAAAAAGACAUCAAAAUUAAACAACAUACCUUAUGACAAUGGGGCUUGGAAAAUAAGAAUCCAGAGGAAUGCAUAUCUGGAUGCAAUCGACCGUCACAAGAAUAGGAUGAGUUCAUACCAAGACAGCUAAGAUGGCAUCCUAUUGCUGCACCGUAACGCAAUUCAACACCUUCCCAAGGACUACUCAGUGGUUGUGGUGCACGGAAAGGUGCAAGUUUUGUUUGAAUUUCAUCACGUUGAGCAUAUUGUUUCUACGUAUUGUCCAGGAGCUACACUGGUCUAGCUCAUCAUGGUGAUGUGAAAUGUCAAUCGAAGAAAUGGAAAUUACUGAAAAGAGCUACACUAGAAAGAAAGGCAAAUGAUUUUCUGGCUAUUAAGAAUGCUGCAAUGGAGAUACUCAGAGUAAAAUGUGCAAUGGAGCUCCCUAAUAAUGUUCAAAUUCUCUUCCAUCUUCUAUCACAUUAUAAGGAUGGGGAUGAGAUCCUUAUUGAACAUCAUCCACGGCUGUUGACAGAGAAAAAUAAACUAAGUCUCUUCAAUGACAUGUAUACACAUGUGUAAAUUCUGGGAAAGAAAGAUCAAGCAAAAGAAAUCAGAAUUAAACAACAUACCUUAUGACAAUGGGGCUUGGAAAAUAAGAAUACAGAGGAAUGCAUAUCUGUAUGCAAUCGACCGUCACAAGAAUAGGAUGAGUUCCUACCAAGACACCCAAGAUGGCAUACUAUUGCUGCACCGUAAUACAAUUCAACACCUUCCCAAGGACUACUCAGUGGUUGUGGUGCACGCAAAGGUGCAGGUUUAAUUUGAAGUUCAUCACGUAGAGCAUAUUAUUUCUACGACCUGUACAGGAGCUACACUGGUCCAGCUCAUCAUGAUGAUGUGAAAUGUCAACCGAAGAAAAGAAAAUUACUGAAAAGAACUACACUAGAAAGAAAGGCAAAUGACUUUGUGGCUAUUAAGAAUGCUGCAAUGGAGAUACUCAGAGUAAAAUGUGCAAUGGAGCUCCCUAAUGAUGUUCAAAUGCUCUUCCAUCUUCUAUCAAAUUAUAAGGAUGGGGAUGAGAUCCUUAUUGAAAAUCAUCCACGGCUGGUGAUAGAGAAAGACAAAAUAACCCGCUUCAAUGGCAUGUAUACACAUGUGAAAAUUCUGGGAAAGAAAGAUCAAGCAAAAGAAAUCAGAAUUAAACAACAUACUUUAUGGCAAUGGGGCUUGGAAAAUAAGAAUCCAGAGGAUUGCAUAUCUGAAUGCAAUCGACCGUCAAAAGAAUAGGAUGAGUUCCUACCAAGACAGCCAAGAUGGCAUCCUAUUGCUGCACCGUAAUGCAAUUCAACACCUUCCCAAGGACUACUCAGUGGUUGUGGUGCACGCAAAGGUGCAGGUUUAAUUUGAAGUUCAUCACGUAGAGCAUAUUGUUUCUACGACCUGUCCAGGAGCUAAACUGGUUCAGCUCAUCAUGGUGAUGUGAAAUGUCAACCGAAGAAAAAGGAAAUUACUGAAAAGAGCUACACUGGAAAGAAAGGCAAAUAAUUUUGUGGCUAUUAAGAAUGCUGCAAUGGAGAUACUCGGAGUAAAAUGUGCAAUGGAGCUCCCUAAUGAUGUUCAAAUGCUCUUCCAUCUUCUAUCAAAUUAUAAGGAUGGGGAUGAGAUCCUUAUUGAACAUCAUCCACGGCUGUUGACAGAGAAAGAGAAAAUAAGCCUCUUCAAUGACAUGUAUACACAUGUGUAAAUUCUGGGAAAGAAAGAUCAAGCAAAAGAUAUCAGAAUUAAACAACAUACCUUAUGGCAAUGGGGCUUGUAAAAUAAGAAUCCAGAGGAAUGCAUAUCUGGAUGCAAUCGACCGUUAAAAGAAUAGGAUGAGUUCCUACCAAGACAGCCAAGAUGGCAUCCUAUUGCUGCACCGUAACGCAAUUCAACACCUUCACAAGGACUACUGAGUAGUUGUGGUGCACGUAAAGGUAUAGGUUUAAUUUGAAGUUCAUCACGUAGAGCAUAUUGUUUCUACGACCUGUCCAGGAGCUACACUGGUCAAGCUCAUCAUGGUGAUGUGAAAUGUCAACCGAAGAAAAGAAAAUUACUGAAAAGAGCUACACUAGAAAGAAAGACAAAUGAUUUUGUGGCUAUUAAGAAUGAUGCAAUGGAGAUACUCGGAGUAAAAUGUGCAAUGCAGCUUCCUAAUGAUGUUCAAAUGCUCUUCCAUCUUCUAUCAAAUUAUAAGGAUGGGGAUGAGAUCCUUAUUGAAAAUCAUCCACGGCUGGUGACAGAGAAACAGAAAAUAAGCCUCAUCAAUGACAUGUAUACACAUGUGUAAAUUCUGGGAAAGAAAGAUCAAGCAAAAGACAUCAGAAUUAAACAACAUACCUUAUCGCAAUGGGGCUUGGAAAAUAAGAAUCCAGAGUAAUGCAUAUCUCGAUGCAAUCGACCGUCACAAGAAUAGGAUGAGUUCUACCAAGACAGCCAAGAUGGCAUCCUAUUGCUGCACCGUAAGGCAAUUCAACACCUUUCCAAGAACUACUCAGUGGUUGUGGUGCACGCAAAGGUGCAGGUUUAAUUUGAAGUUCAUCACGUAGAGCAUAUUAUUUCUACGACCUGUCCAGGAGCUACACUGGUCCAGCUCAUCAUGGUGAUGUGAAAUGUCAACCGAAGAAAAAGGAAAUUACUGAAAAG